rnacentral:tRNA from 1 species
GGGCCGGUAGUUCAGUUUCGGUCAGAACGCUACGCUCACACCGUAGAGGUCGAGGGUUCAAAUCCCUUCCGGCCCA